CUCGUAGGCGGUCUGUUGCGUCAGGAGUGAAAACUCGGGGCUUAACCCCGAGCCUGCUUCUGAUACGGGCAGACUAGAGGUAUGCAGGGGAGAACGGAAUUCCUGGUGUAGCGGUGAAAUGCGCAGAUAUCAGGAGGAACACCGGUGGCGAAGGCGGUUCUCUGGGCAUUACCUGACGCUGAGGAGCGAAAGUGUGGGGAGCGAACA
rnacentral:rRNA from 1 species